UACAGAGGUCUCAACCGUUGUUCGGAUUCAUUGGGCGUAAAGGGCGCGUAGGCGGCCUGCUAAGUCAUACGUGAAAUCCCUCGGCUCAACCGGGGAACUGCGUGUGAUACUGGCGGGCUUGAAUCCGGGAGAGGAAUGCGGAAUUCCAGGUGUAGCGGUGAAAUGCGUAGAUAUCUGGAGGAACACCGGUGGCGAAGGCGGCUCACUGGCCCGGUACUGACGCUGAGGUGCGAAAGCGUGGGGAGCAAACAGGG
rnacentral:rRNA from 1 species